UAAGCGACUAAGCGUACACGGUGGAUGCCUAGGCAGUCAGAGGCGAUGAAGGGCGUGCUAAUCUGCGAAAAGCGUCGGUAAGCUGAUAUGAAGCGUAAUAACCGACGAUACCCGAAUGGGGAAACCCAGUGCAAUUCGUUGCACUAUUGCAUGGUGAAUACAUAGCCAUGCAAGGCGAACCGGGGGAACUGAAACAUCUAAGUACCCCGAGGAAAAGAAAUCAACCGAGAUUCCCCCAGUAGCGGCGAGCGAACGGGGAAGAGCCCAGAGUCUGAAUCAGUUUGUGUGUUAGUGGAAGCGUCUGGAAAGUCGCACGGUACAGGGUGAUAGUCCCGUACACAAAAACACACUGGCUGUGAACUCGAUGAGUAGGGCGGGACACGUGACAUCCUGUCUGAAUAUGGGGGGACCAUCCUCCAAGGCUAAAUACUCCUGACUGACCGAUAGUGAACCAGUACCGUGAGGGAAAGGCGAAAAGAACCCCGGCGAGGGGAGUGAAAUAGAACCUGAAACCGUGUACGUACAAGCAGUGGGAGCCCCACCACCAAAGCAUUCUCUGGUGUUAAAGGCCAUGCUGAAGCUCAAUCACGCGUUGGCGGAGCGUCCUUUGCGACGCCCAACACAAAACAAGCGGUGAGUGCUUUGGGGUGGGUGACUGCGUACCUUUGUAUAAUGGGUCAGCGACUUAUAUUUUGUAGCAAGGUUAACCGAAUAGGGGAGCCGUAGGGAAACCGAGUCUUAACUGGGCGUCUAGUUGCAAGGUAUAGACCCGAAACCCGGUGAUCUAGCCAUGGGCAGGUUGAAGGUUGGGUAACACUAACUGGAGGACCGAACCGACUAAUGUUGAAAAAUUAGCGGAUGACUUGUGGCUGGGGGUGAAAGGCCAAUCAAACCGGGAGAUAGCUGGUUCUCCCCGAAAGCUAUUUAGGUAGCGCCUCGUGAACUCAUCUUCGGGGGUAGAGCACUGUUUCGGCUAGGGGUCCAUCCCGGAUUACCAAACCGAUGCAAACUCCGAAUACCGAAGAAUGUUAUCACGGGAGACACACGGCGGGUGCUAACGUCCGUCGUGAAGAGGGAAACAACCCAGACCGCCAGCUAAGGUCCCAAAGUCAUGGUUAAGUGGGAAACGAUGUGGGAAGGCAUAGACAGCCAGGAUGUUGGCUUAGAAGCAGCCAUCAUUUAAAGAAAGCGUAAUAGCUCACUGGUCGAGUCGGCCUGCGCGGAAGAUGUAACGGGGCUAAACCAUGCACCGAAGCUGCGGCAGCGAACGUAUCACUUAAAACGCUUAACGUUGCGAAGCGACGUUCAAGCCACUAAAACGUUGAGUUGGCGUGAGAGCUGACAGACGGAAAGGCGUUUUAAGGAUACGUUCGUUGGGUAGGGGAGCGUUCUGUAAGCCGUUGAAGGUGGCCUGUGAGGGCUGCUGGAGGUAUCAGAAGUGCGAAUGCUGACAUAAGUAACGAUAAUGCGGGUGAAAAACCCGCACGCCGGAAGACCAAGGGUUCCUGUCCAACGUUAAUCGGGGCAGGGUGAGUCGACCCCUAAGGCGAGGCUGAAAAGCGUAGUCGAUGGGAAACAGGUUAAUAUUCCUGUACUGGGUGUGACUGCGAAGGGGGGACGGAGAAGGCUAGGCUAGCCGGGCGACGGUUGUCCCGGUUUAAGCAUGUAGGCGGAGUGACUUGGUAAAUCCGGUUGCUUAUCAACGCUGAGGUGUGAUGACGAGCCACUACGGUGGUGAAGUAGUUGAUGCCAAGCUUCCAGGAAAAGCCUCUAAGCAUCAGGUGACAUUCAAUCGUACCCCAAACCGACACAGGUGGUCAGGUAGAGAAUACUCAGGCGCUUGAGAGAACUCGGGUGAAGGAACUAGGCAAAAUGGUGCCGUAACUUCGGGAGAAGGCACGCUGGCAUUAGGUAAAGAGACUUGCUCUCGGCGCCGAAGCCAGUCGCAGAUACCAGCUGGCUGCAACUGUUUAAUAAAAACACAGCACUGUGCAAACACGAAAGUGGACGUAUACGGUGUGACGCCUGCCCGGUGCUGGAAGGUUAAUUGAUGGGGUCAGCCGCAAGGCGAAGCUCUUGAUCGAAGCCCCAGUAAACGGCGGCCGUAACUAUAACGGUCCUAAGGUAGCGAAAUUCCUUGUCGGGUAAGUUCCGACCUGCACGAAUGGCGUAAUGAUGGCCAGGCUGUCUCCACCCGAGACUCAGUGAAAUUGAACUCGCUGUGAAGAUGCAGUGUACCCGCGGCAAGACGGAAAGACCCCGUGAACCUUUACUAUAGCUUGACACUGAAUAUUGAGCCUUGAUGUGUAGGAUAGGUGGGAGGCAUCGAAGCGUGGACGCCAGUCUGCGUGGAGCCAACCUUGAAAUACCACCCUUUAAUGUUUGAUGUUCUAACUCGGCCCCAUAAUCUGGGGUGAGGACAGUGUCUGGUGGGUAGUUUGACUGGGGCGGUCUCCUCCCAAAGAGUAACGGAGGAGCACGAAGGUUAGCUAAUCACGGUCGGACAUCGUGAGGUUAGUGCAAAGGCAUAAGCUAGCUUGACUGCGAGAGUGACGGCUCGAGCAGGUACGAAAGUAGGUCUUAGUGAUCCGGUGGUUCUGAAUGGAAGGGCCAUCGCUCAACGGAUAAAAGGUACUCCGGGGAUAACAGGCUGAUACCGCCCAAGAGUUCAUAUCGACGGCGGUGUUUGGCACCUCGAUGUCGGCUCAUCACAUCCUGGGGCUGAAGUAGGUCCCAAGGGUAUGGCUGUUCGCCAUUUAAAGUGGUACGCGAGCUGGGUUUAGAACGUCGUGAGACAGUUCGGUCCCUAUCUGCCGUGGGCGUUGGAAGAUUGAGAGGGGCUGCUCCUAGUACGAGAGGACCGGAGUGGACGCAUCACUGGUGUUCGGGUUGUCAUGCCAAUGGCAUUGCCCGGUAGCUAAAUGCGGAAAAGAUAAGCGCUGAAAGCAUCUAAGCGCGAAACUUGCCUCGAGAUGAGUCUUCCCUGGGGCUUUAAGCCCCCUGAAGGAACGUUAAAGACUAUGACGUUGAUAGGCUGGGUGUGUAAGUGCAGCGAUGCAUUGAGCUAACCAGUACUAAUGAUCCGUGAGGCUUAACCU
rnacentral:rRNA from 1 species